GGGUUUUGGAAGACUUUUCUCCAUUUUAGAGAUCUUGGUGAUUCAAGUCUAGAGAGAGAAAGUCUAGAGAGAGAAAGUGGUUGUAAUCGUGAAUCUUGUACCGGAUUUGUCAUAUCUUUCAAUAAAUCACGAUUAGUAGUACGUUAUUGUGUGUUCGGUCACGUACGUUCACGGAUUCCGCACGUGAAACGUACGUUACGCAAUCGAACAACAACAUCAAGAACACUCCGUUUACGUCACGUUGAUCAGAUUUCGAGUGUGUAGUAUGUAGAUCGAGUCGAAACUCAGUCCGGUUGUCGUCGUUUCAUAACAAACGUUGUUUAAUUACGUCUUCGCGCACGAUUACGGUUCGAUUUAACGGAUUCCACACGUUAAAUCGAAUCCACCGCAGAUCUAGUGAUCGUUUUCGAUCCGAUCCUGUACUUACAAGUGGUAUCAGAGCUACGGAUGCUCUGCGUGUAAUCGUGAUCGAAAUCAGACGAGUUUUGCUCAGUUUCAGUGAAAUCGAAUCGAAUUUCGGUUAAUUUCGGACUAUUUUUCGGUGAAUUUCGAUUCGUUUCGGUGUGUUGAUUGAACUCUCUGAACUGUUUACAGUAAAUACGUGAUUGAUUUGAUGCGAUUCAAUGAUUUUUAUUGAACUUUCAUAUAUUUCAAACUGUUUUGAAUGAUUAUCUAUCUGAUUUGA
rnacentral:lncRNA from 1 species